UACGUAGGCAGCAAGCGUUGUUCGGAAUUACUGGGCGUAAAGUGUGUGUAGGCGGUGCUCUAAGUUCGGUGUGAAAUCUCCUGGCUCAACUGGGAGGGUGCGCCGGAAACUGGGGUGCUGGAGCGCGGGAGAGGAAAGCGGAAUUCCUGGUGUAGCGGUGAAAUGCGUAGAUAUCAGGAGGAACACCGGUGGUGUAGACGGCUUACUGGACCAUAACUGACGCUGAGACACGAAAGCGUGGGUAGCAAACAGG
rnacentral:rRNA from 1 species